rnacentral:rRNA from 1 species
UAAGACAGAGGUGCCGAGCGUUAGGCGGAAUCACUGGGCUUAAAGCGUGUGUAGGCGGGCCGUUAAGUACCUUGUGAAAUCCCCCGGCUCAACCGGGGAACGGCUGGGUAUACUGGCGGUCUUGGGCCACCUAGGGGCGAGCGGAACAAGCGGUGGAGCGGUGAAAUGCGUAGAUAUCGCUUGGAACGCCGACGGUGAAAACAGCUCGCUGGGGGUGUGCCGACGCUGAGACACGAAAGCCAGGGGAGCGAACGGGAUUAGAUACCCCGGUAGUCCUGGCCCUAAACGAUGUCCACUAGGUCGCCGCCCCUUUGACGGGGGUGGCGGCCGAAGCAAAAGUGCUAAGUGGACCGCCUGGGAAGUACGGUCGCAAGGCUA